rnacentral:rRNA from 1 species
GUGUUAAAGGCCUUGAUAUAGUCUAGCCUGCUCACUGACAAAAAGUGUUAAAUAGCCGCGGUAUUUUGACCGUGCAAAGGUAGCAUAAUCAUUAGUUUUUUAAUUGGAAACUUGUAUGAAUGGUUGGACAAAGAAAAGACUGUCUCUUUUAUUAAAAUUGAAAUUAACUUCUAAGUGAAAAGGCUUAGAUUUUCUAGAGGGACGAUAAGACCCUAUAAAGCUUCAUAAGUUAAAUAAAUUAGAUGGAUUUUUAGAAUAAAAGUAAAUUUAGUAAGCUUAUUUAGUUGGGGCGACAAGGGUAUAAAAUUAAAUAACUGCUAUUAAGGUUAGACAAUUAUAUUUGGUUGGAUUGUAAUUGAUCCUCGCUAUGGAUUAAAAGAUUAAGUUACUUUAGGGAUAACAGCGUAAUUUCUUUUAAGAGUUCUUAUCAAAGGAGAAGUUUGCGACCUCGAUGUUGAAUUAAAAUGUCUUUAUAGUGCAGAAGCUAUAAAAGAAGGUCUGUUCGACCUUUAAUUUUUUACAUGAUCUGAUUCAGACCCGGA